rnacentral:rRNA from 1 species
UAGGGAAUCUUCGGCAAUGGGGGCAACCCUGACCGAGCAACGCCGCGUGAGUGAAGAAGGCUUUCGGAUCGUAAAGCUCUGUUGUAAGAGAAGAACGUGUGUGAGAGUGGAAAGUUCACACAGUGACGGUAACUUACCAGAAAGGGACGGCUAACUACGUGCCAGCAGCCGCGGUAAUCCGUAGGUCCCGAGCGUUGUACGGAUUCAUUGGGUGUAAAGCGAGGGCAGGCGGUUUAAUAAGUCUGAAGUUAAAGGCAGUGGCUUAACCAUUGUUCGCUUUGGACACUGUUAAACUUGAGUGCAGAAGGGGGGAGUGAAAUUCCAUGUGUAGCUGUGAAAUGCGUAGAUAUAUGGAGGAACACCGGUGGCGAAAGCGGCUCUCUGGUCUGUAACUGACGCUGAGGCUCGAAAGCGUGGGGAGCAAACAGG